UACAGAGGGGGCAAGCGUUAUUCGGAAUUAUUGGGCGUAAAGGGCGCGUAGGCGGCUUGGCAAGUGGAUGGUGAAAUCCCUCGGCUUAACCGAGGAACUGCCGUCCAAACUGCUUCGCUUGAGACCGGGAGAGGUGAGUGGAAUUCCCAGUGUAGCGGUGAAAUGCGUAGAUAUUGGGAGGAACACCAGUGGCGAAGGCGGCUCUCUGGAACGGUACUGACGCUGAGACGCGAAAGCGUGGGGAGCGAACAGG
rnacentral:rRNA from 1 species